GGGCCCGCACAAGCAGCGGAGCGUGUGGUUUAAUUCGAUGCAACACGAAGAACCUUACCAAGGUUUGACAUGCUGGAAGUAGAGAACCGAAAGGCCAUCGACCUGUUAAGUCAGGAGCCUGCACAGGUGCUGCAUGGCUGUCGUCAGCUCGUGCCGUGAGGUGUUGGGUUAAGUCCCCCAACGAGCGUAACCCUUAUUGCCAGUUAUUUUCUCUGGCGAGACUGCCCCGCAAAACGGGGAGGAAGGUGGGGAUGACGUCAAGUCAGCACGGCCCUUAUACCUUGGGCUACACACACGCUACAAUGGACGGUACAAUGGGUUGCAAUGGAGCGAUUCGGAGCUAAUCCAAAAAGCUGUUCUCAGUUCGGAUCGCAGGCUGAAACCCGCCUGCGUGAAGUCGGAGUUGCUAGUAACCGCAAGUCAGCAAAUUGCGGUGAAUACGUUCUCGGGCCUU
rnacentral:rRNA from 1 species